rnacentral:rRNA from 1 species
AGUCAGAGGCGAUGAAGGACGUGCUAAUCUGCGAUAAGCGUCGGUAAGGUGAUAUGAACCGUUAUAACCGGCGAUUUCCGAAUGGGGAAACCCAGUGUGUUUCGACACACUAUCAUUAACUGAAUCCAUAGGUUAAUGAGGCGAACCGGGGGAACUGAAACAUCUAAGUACCCCGAGGAAAAGAAAUCAACCGAGAUUCCCCCAGUAGCGGCGAGCGAACGGGGAGCAGCCCAGAGCCUGAAUCAGUGUGUGUGUUAGUGGAAGCGUCUGGAAAGGCGCGCGAUACAGGGUGACAGCCCCGUACACAAAAAUGCACAUGCUGUGAGCUCGAUGAGUAGGGCGGGACACGUGGUAUCCUGUCUGAAUAUGGGGGGACCAUCCUCCAAGGCUAAAUACUCCUGACUGACCGAUAGUGAACCAGUACCGUGAGGGAAAGGCGAAAAGAACCCCGGCGAGGGGAGUGAAAAAGAACCUGAAACCGUGUACGUACAAGCAGUGGGAGCACGCUUAGGCGUGUGACUGCGUACCUUUUGUAUAAUGGGUCAGCGACUUAUAUUCUGUAGCAAGGUUAACCGAAUAGGGGAGCCGAAGGGAAACCGAGUCUUAACUGGGCGUUAAGUUGCAGGGUAUAGACCCGAAACCCGGUGAUCUAGCCAUGGGCAGGUUGAAGGUUGGGUAACACUAACUGGAGGACCGAACCGACUAAUGUUGAAAAAUUAGCGGAUGACUUGUGGCUGGGGGUGAAAGGCCAAUCAAACCGGGAGAUAGCUGGUUCUCCCCGAAAGCUAUUUAGGUAGCGCCUCGUGAAUUCAUCUCCGGGGGUAGAGCACUGUUUCGGCAAGGGGGUCAUCCCGACUUACCAACCCGAUGCAAACUGCGAAUACCGGAGAAUGUUAUCACGGGAGACACACGGCGGGUGCUAACGUCCGUCGUGAAGAGGGAAACAACCCAGACCGCCAGCUAAGGUCCCAAAGUCAUGGUUAAGUGGGAAACGAUGUGGGAAGGCCCAGACAGCCAGGAUGUUGGCUUAGAAGCAGCCAUCAUUUAAAGAAAGCGUAAUAGCUCACUGGUCGAGUCGGCCUGCGCGGAAGAUGUAACGGGGCUAAACCAUGCACCGAAGCUGCGGCAGCGACGCUGAUGCGUUGUUGGGUAGGGGAGCGUUCUGUAAGCCUGCGAAGGUGUGCUGUGAGGCAUGCUGGAGGUAUCAGAAGUGCGAAUGCUGACAUAAGUAACGAUAAAGCGGGUGAAAAGCCCGCUCGCCGGAAGACCAAGGGUUCCUGUCCAACGUUAAUCGGGGCAGGGUGAGUCGACCCCUAAGGCGAGGCCGAAAGGCGUAGUCGAUGGGAAACAGGUUAAUAUUCCUGUACUUGGUGUUACUGCGAAGGGGGGACGGAGAAGGCUAUGUUGGCCGGGCGACGGUUGUCCCGGUUUAAGCGUGUAGGCUGGUUUUCCAGGCAAAUCCGGAAAAUCAAGGCUGAGGCGUGAUGACGAGGCACUACGGUGCUGAAGCAACAAAUGCCCUGCUUCCAGGAAAAGCCUCUAAGCAUCAGGUAACAUCAAAUCGUACCCCAAACCGACACAGGUGGUCAGGUAGAGAAUACCAAGGCGCUUGAGAGAACUCGGGUGAAGGAACUAGGCAAAAUGGUGCCGUAACUUCGGGAGAAGGCACGCUGAUAUGUAGGUGAAGUCCCUCGCGGAUGGAGCUGAAAUCAGUCGAAGAUACCAGCUGGCUGCAACUGUUUAUUAAAAACACAGCACUGUGCAAACACGAAAGUGGACGUAUACGGUGUGACGCCUGCCCGGUGCCGGAAGGUUAAUUGAUGGGGUUAGCGCAAGCGAAGCUCUUGAUCGAAGCCCCGGUAAACGGCGGCCGUAACUAUAACGGUCCUAAGGUAGCGAAAUUCCUUGUCGGGUAAGUUCCGACCUGCACGAAUGGCGUAAUGAUGGCCAGGCUGUCUCCACCCGAGACUCAGUGAAAUUGAACUCGCUGUGAAGAUGCAGUGUACCCGCGGCAAGACGGAAAGACCCCGUGAACCUUUACUAUAGCUUGACACUGAACAUUGAGCCUUGAUGUGUAGGAUAGGUGGGAGGCUUUGAAGUGUGGACGCCAGUCUGCAUGGAGCCGACCUUGAAAUACCACCCUUUAAUGUUUGAUGUUCUAACGUUGACCCGUAAUCCGGGUUGCGGACAGUGUCUGGUGGGUAGUUUGACUGGGGCGGUCUCCUCCUAAAGAGUAACGGAGGAGCACGAAGGUUGGCUAAUCCUGGUCGGACAUCAGGAGGUUAGUGCAAUGGCAUAAGCCAGCUUGACUGCGAGCGUGACGGCGCGAGCAGGUGCGAAAGCAGGUCAUAGUGAUCCGGUGGUUCUGAAUGGAAGGGCCAUCGCUCAACGGAUAAAAGGUACUCCGGGGAUAACAGGCUGAUACCGCCCAAGAGUUCAUAUCGACGGCGGUGUUUGGCACCUCGAUGUCGGCUCAUCACAUCCUGGGGCUGAAGUAGGUCCCAAGGGUAUGGCUGUUCGCCAUUUAAAGUGGUACGCGAGCUGGGUUUAGAACGUCGUGAGACAGUUCGGUCCCUAUCUGCCGUGGGCGCUGGAGAACUGAGGGGGGCUGCUCCUAGUACGAGAGGACCGGAGUGGACGCAUCACUGGUGUUCGGGUUGUCAUGCCAAUGGCACUGCCCGGUAGCUAAAUGCGGAAGAGAUAAGUGCUGAAAGCAUCUAAGCACGAAACUUGCCCCGAGAUGAGUUCUCCCUGACUCCUUGAGAGUCCUGAAGGAACGUUGAAGACGACGACGUUGAUAGGCCGGGUGUGUAAGCGCAGCGAUGCGUUGAGCUAACCGGUACUAAUGAACCGUGAGGCUUAACCU